rnacentral:lncRNA from 1 species
AUCCCAAGCUUCAUCUUCCUCUGAGGGUUCUGUAGGAGGAUGGGGGAAAAGAGGGGUGCAGAAGAGAAGUAAGAGGAGGGAAGUAGUUUUCCUUUUGAGAUCAGCUUCAUUUCCUACCCUGACCCUCCCUGCUGCUUCCCUCCCUCUACAGGUUGGAGUCCUUUCCCUGAGGGCAAGGCCUGGGUCUUCCUAACUCCUAUGGGACCUUGCCCUCUGUAAAUUCCAGUUGGGCAGCCUCCUGCCUAUGAAGAGAGGAGAAAGAGCUCUGGGAUCCGUCUCCCUCCCCAGCUCAGUCUGCAGAGGAACAAAACCUACCCCAAGAAGGUAUUGGGUCAAAUCCAGACACUAAAGCUGGAGGGAAGUUGGAAGUUUUAUUACCAGGUCCAACAAGCAGCAAACGCCCAGAGUAUGAGCACCAAGGCAGUCAGCCCAGCAUUAAGAUUACAGGGAGCCUGGACUGAGAGAGAAUGGCUCCUGGGAGCAGCCAAGCCCCAGCCCAGGUUGUGAAGAAUGUCUGACCAUGAAGAAAGGGGAAUGAGACAUGACAGAAGCUGAGGCAUAGAACAGAAGAAAGGAUGCCUCUCUCAGACUCCUAAGGAGAUUGAUGGCAUCAGAACUAUCUGACAUUCAUUUGGACACCCUAACUCAGAGGAGCUUUACCUGACAUCCAGGAACUUUUUUAGAAAUAUUUGUAUAACUGUAUUUCCAUAUAGUUGGCUUCCCGGACAAUAUUGUUUAUUUUAUGUAUUUAAAAACAUCAUUCUGAGUCAGGGUCCUACAGUUCCCCAGACUGCCAAAGGAGUCCAUGAUUCAAAAAUAAGUUAAGAACCCUUGCCCUAGAUAAUUGUUUGGCCACUGAGAAAAUUAAAGUUAUUCUGUGUCAUUUAACAAUUGAUUCAAUUCUGUAAUUGACUGUUCUGUACUGCUGCUUCAUUUUGUGUCAUUGCUCAGUCCACAUUUUUCCAUUCCGGAGUCAACUCUUCCUCUGAGUUAGUCACAAGUUAACUUGUUAUCAUCCCCAAAAGGUAUAGCGUCCACCCUUGCAAACUUCUUAGUUCCCACCAAACCCUUCUAGGCACCAGGAAGUCUGCCAACUCAGGUCUGCUAACAACACCUGUAAGAUUCAUACAAUUAGGGAAGGGACCAGAACUGGAACCGAGGGUUCCUGAUUUCAACCUUGACUUCCAGCACUCUCUCUACCACACCAUGAGAAGAUAAUGAGCUCACAUCAGGGGCCUUGCACGAUACCAACUCCCUCUGCUCGUUUGCAAUGGGCUCUGUUCUGUUUUUAUUCUUACUUGUCCUAUUUAAUAUGUGGUUCAUUUUGAAAGAGGACUCAAACUGUCCUUUGGCAAAUAGGUGAAAUAUAAAUUGAAAAUAAAUGAUAACUAGUUAUAAAUGAUUUGGAUUUA